rnacentral:lncRNA from 1 species
GAACAUUUUCCUGCAGGUAUCAACCUAUCAAAAUGCUAUACACAGCGGCAGCAGGGGCCUGGAGGCUGAGAUCCACAGGCGUGUGCUGGUUUGUCAAGAUUGUGAGAAUAUCCACAGGGACCACAUGGGAGAGGCCGGAUGACCUGUAAGAUUGGGGUGCUCUGCGGAUGAAGGGUAGACUUUACCGGAGCAGCCAUUGCUAGAUGGCGUUGGACUAGCAAGUACAACACUACAAAUGUAACAGGCUCAGUAGGGGCUUUGCAAGUGGGUUUGCACUUCUAGGGGGAUGUGCUCUGUGUCUGGUUCUGUCGCUCUGUUGGUCUAUUUGGGCUAUGCUAGGGCUUCCAUGUUGUCUGUCCCUCAAGGUUUAUGGGAUGGCAGCUUGGCCCCACAGUGGGUGGUGGUACUAGGAAGUCCUGCAGAACUUUUGGGAGCUGGUGCCUAAUGGGAAGUCCUUAGUCCACUGCUGUGGGACCCCACUUAUUCUCUGGCUUCCUGUUUCUAGCGAUGCUCUCUUCCUCAGUCACCUGUGCUCCACCGUGGUGUGAAGGAGCCAAGAGGACUCUCACUGGAGCUGAGCUAACGCCAGUGCCUUCCCCUUGAACCUGCCAGAUUG